GGUCUGGUAGCUCAGUGGUAGGACAUCUGUACCGGAUAUCAGAUGGUCCGGGGUUCAAUUCCCUGUCAGACCA